rnacentral:rRNA from 1 species
GCGACCCCAGAUGAGCGAGGCAACCCGCUGAGUUUAAGCAUAUCAAU